GACGAACGCUGGCGGCGUGCCUAAUACAUGCAAGUAGAACGCUGAAGAGAGGAGCUUGCUCUUCUUGGAUGAGUUGCGAACGGGUGAGUAACGCGUAGGUAACCUGCCUUGUAGCGGGGGAUAACUAUUGGAAACGAUAGCUAAUACCGCAUAACAAUGGAUGACCCAUGUCAUUUAUUUGAAAGGGGCAAAUGCUCCACUACAAGAUGGACCUGCGUUGUAUUAGCUAGUAGGUGAGGUAACGGCUCACCUAGGCGACGAUACAUAGCCGACCUGAGAGGGUGAUCGGCCACACUGGGACUGAGACACGGCCCAGACUCCUACGGGAGGCAGCAGUAGGGAAUCUUCGGCAAUGGGGGCAACCCUGACCGAGCAACGCCGCGUGAGUGAAGAAGGUUUUCGGAUCGUAAAGCUCUGUUGUAAGUCAAGAACGAGUGUGAGAGUGGAAAGUUCACACUGUGACGGUAGCUUACCAGAAAGGGACGGCUAACUACGCG
rnacentral:rRNA from 1 species